UACGGGGGGAGCAAGCGUUGUUCGGAUUUACUGGGCGUAAAGGGCGCGUAGGCGGCCAGCACAAGUCAGUUGUGAAAUCUCCGAGCUUAACUCGGAACGGUCAACUGAUACUGUGCGGCUAGAGUGCGGAAGGGGCAACUGGAAUUCUUGGUGUAGCGGUGAAAUGCGUAGAUAUCGAGAGGAACACCUGCGGCGAAGGCGGGUUGCUGGGCUGAUACUGACGCUGAGGCGCGAAAGCCAGGGGAGCGAACGGG
rnacentral:rRNA from 1 species